AGUGAACGCUGGCGGUAGGCCUAACACAUGCCAGUCGAACGGCAGCACAGUAAGAGCUUGCUCUUACGGGUGGCGAGUGGCGGACGGGUGAGGAAUACAUCGGAAUCUACUUUUUCGUGGGGGAUAACGUAGGGAAACUUACGCUAAUACCGCAUACGACCUACGGGUGAAAGCAGGGGAUCUUCGGACCUUGCGCGAUUGAAUGAGCCGAUGUCGGAUUAGCUAGUUGGCGGGGUAAAGGCCCACCAAGGCGACGAUCCGUAGCUGGUCUGAGAGGAUGAUCAGACACACUGGAACUGAGACACGGUCCAGACUCCUACGGGAGGCAGCAGUGGGGAAUAUUGGACAAUGGGCGCAAGCCUGAUCCAGCCAUACCGCGUGGGUGAAGAAGGCCUUCGGGUUGCAAAGCCCUUUUGUUGGGAAAGAAAAGCAGCAGGUUAAUACCCCGCUGUUCUGACGGUACCCAAAGAAUAAGCACCGGCUAACUUCGUG
rnacentral:rRNA from 1 species